GUCCACGCCCUAACGAUGAAUACUCGCUGUUAGCGAUAUACAGUUAGCGGCUAAGCGAAAGCGUUAAGUAUUCCACCUGGGGAGUACGGUCGCAAGAUUGAAACUCAAAGGAAUUGACGGGGCCCGCACAAGCGGAGGAGCAUGUGGUUUAAUUCGAUGAUACGCGAGGAACCUUACCCGGGCUUGAAAGUUAGUGAAUCAUUUAGAGAUAGAUGAGUCCGCAAGGACACGAAACUAGGUGCUGCAUGGCUGUCGU
rnacentral:rRNA from 1 species